UGGGGAAUAUUGCACAAUGGGCGAAAGCCUGAUGCAGCAACGCCGCGUGAGUGAUGAAGGUCUUCGGAUUGUAAAGCUCUGUCUUUUGGGACGAUAAUGACGGUACCAAAGGAGGAAGCCACGGCUAACUACGUGCCAGCAGCCGCGGUAAUACGUAGGUGGCGAGCGUUGUCCGGAUUUACUGGGCGUAAAGGGUGCGUAGGCGGAUGUUUAAGUGAGAUGUGAAAUACCCGGGCUUAACUUGGGUGCUGCAUUUCAAACUGGAUAUCUAGAGUGCAGGAGAGGAGAAUGGAAUUCCUAGUGUAGCGGUGAAAUGCGUAGAGAUUAGGAAGAACACCAGUGGCGAAGGCGAUUCUCUGGACUGUAACUGACGCUGAGGCACGAAAGCGUGGGUAGCAACAGGAUUAGAUACCCUGGUAGUCCACGCCGUAAACGAUGAGUACUAGGUGUAGGAGGUAUCGACCCCUUCUGUGCCGCAGUAAACACAUUAAGUACUCCGCCUGGGAAGUA
rnacentral:rRNA from 1 species